CUGCGCGAAGGACAAAAUUUUUCUUGUGUGAGAGUAAGUAAAAUUGGAGGCCAGCAACAAGAGAGCUAUGGCACUCCCACAUGGCUCCGCGCAAGUGACUAGAGCAUCACACAAGUGUCUCUAGAAGAGGUACUCGAGUGUCAGGCCUACAUUAUUUUUUUAUGA
rnacentral:rRNA from 1 species